rnacentral:rRNA from 1 species
UACGAGAGGCCCAAACGUUAUUCGGAUUUACUGGGCUUAAAGAGUUCGUAGGCGGCGCAGAAAGUAGGGUGUGAAAGCCCUCGGCUCAACCGAGGAAUUGCGCUUUAAACUACUGUGCUUGAGGAACCUAGAGGUGAGCGGAACUGAUGGUGGAGCGGUGAAAUGCGUUGAUAUCAUCAGGAACACCGGAGGCGAAGGCGGCUCGCUGGGGGUUAUCUGACGCUGAGGAACGAAAGCCAGGGGAGCGAACGGG